CCUACGGGAGGCAGCAGUGAGGAAUAUUGGUCAAUGGACGAGAGUCUGAACCAGCCAAGUCGCGUGAAGGAUGACUGCCCUACGGGUUGUAAACCUCUUUUAUCAAGGAGUAAAGCGAGGCACGUGUGCCUUUUUGCAUGUACUUUAUGAAAAAGGAUCGGCUAACUCCGGGCCAGCAGCCGCGGUAAUACGGAGGAUCCGAACGGUAUCCGGGUUUAUUGGGGUUAAAGGGGGCGUAGAUGGGUUGUUAAGGCAGUUGUGAAAGUUUGGGGCUCAACCGCCAUAUUGCAAUUGAUACUGGCAGUCUUGAGUAGAAGUGAGGUAGGCGGAAUGCGUGGUGUAGCGGUGAAAUGCAUAGAUAUCACGCAGAACCCCGAUUGCGAAGGCAGCAUGC
rnacentral:rRNA from 1 species